AGCUACAGCCACACCAAACUGAAUGCACUCAAAUCUCACAAGCUAGGCUGUCCCAGACCCAGUCACACUGCUUGCACAGGGACCACCUGGGAAUCCCAAGUGCUGUAGAUA
ensembl:rRNA 5S_rRNA 5S ribosomal RNA